rnacentral:rRNA from 1 species
UACGUAGGGUGCGAGCGUUAAUCGGAAUUACUGGGCGUAAAGCGUGCGCAGGCGGUUUUGUAAGCCAGAUGUGAAAUCCCCGGGCUUAACCUGGGAAUGGCAUUUGGGACUGCAAGGCUCGAGUGCGGCAGAGGGGACUGGAAUUCCUGGUGUAGCAGUGAAAUGCGUAGAUAUCAGGAGGAACACCGAUGGCGAAGGCAGGUCUUUGGGCUGACACUGACGCUCAUGCACGAAAGCGUGGGGAGCAAACAGG